AUUCCCAGGCUGAAAUUCCAACCAACUGACAUUACUAUCUUCCACCAGCAGAGGGAGCCACCCUGGCCCUGCAUCCCAGUGCUCUUCUGGCAUUCCAGAUAUUCUCAGUUUCCAUCGCACGCCACUUCCCUCAGCCUGUAGAACUUCCGGCAGCAACUGCAAUUAGGGGUAGUCCAGUGCUAAAUUGUCGCAGCCUUGAAAAUAUUCUGCUUCGUUAUUUCGGGCACUCCACAGAUUCUGUUGCGAAGGCAGCCAUCUUUAGUUCGUCUUUCCUAGAGAGUAGUGUGUGAGCUGCAAAGUUGCUUUACAUCUUUGCCAGCAGCUGAUAAGGGUGGGCCAUAAACCCAAUUUGUGUCCCUUGGGCUGGUGAUUCUGCUGGAAAUCCUGAUCAGCUGCUUAGCUUUUCAGCCGCAACUUUGUUCCUUGGAAAGAUGCUGCCCCAUUUUCUCCAUGUCUCCGUGAAUGCUCUUGAGAAGACAGCCAUUGUUUAAAUCAUCAUUCCCAG
rnacentral:lncRNA from 10 species